UUGGCACCUCGAUGUCGGCUCAUCGCAUCCUGGGGCUGAAAUCGGUCCCAAGGGUUUAGCUGUUCGCUAAUUAAAGCGGUACGCGAGCUGGGUUCAGAACGUCGUGAGACAGUUCGGUCCCUAUCCGUCGUGGGCGCAGGACGCUUGAGAGGAGCUGACUUUAGUACGAGAGGACCGAGUUGGACGAACCGAUGGUGUUCCGGUUGUGGCGCCAGCCGCAUUGCCGGGUAGCUAUGUUCGGAAGGGAUAACCGCUGAAAGCAUCUAAGCGGGAAGCCCACCUCGAGAUAAGGCGUCCCGAGCCGUAAGGCUCCUGAAGACCCCACGUAGACUACGUGGUUGAUAGGCGGGGUGUAGAAAUACAGCAAUGUAUGGAGCUAACCCGUACUAAUCGGUCGUGCGGCUUGAUCAC
rnacentral:rRNA from 1 species